UGGGUGGGUAGGAGGAUGUGGCCUUGUGGGUGGUAGCGGGUAUGUUGGUGGACACUCCAUGCUUCUGUGGAACCAGCUAUAGAGGAGUGGUGAUGCAAUGAGCAUCCUGGAAGUUUAGUUGUCAUUUGUCACCUUUUGGAUAAUGGAGUAGAUUUCUGAAGCUAUUUCUCCUUGUUUGGUGUUCUGCCUGCGAUUUGGGCAAGUGGACUUCAGAUUAUGUCUUCAUAGACUGAAAGACUUGGGAGAGAAAAUCACUGAGUGCCAACUAUGUCAGCCACACAUCAAUAUUAGAUUUCUACAAGUGAAAAUCCUGGAUCAUAGGGGAUGUAUGAAAUGCUCUGAAGGCUGCCAACAAAAUGUUAAGUCAGUCCACUGA
rnacentral:lncRNA from 1 species